rnacentral:rRNA from 1 species
CAGCAGCCGCGGGAAUACGUAGGGUGCGAGCGUUAAUCGGAAUUACUGGGCGUAAAGCGUGCGCAGGCGGUUUGUUAAGACAGAUGUGAAAUCCCCGGGCUCAACCUGGGAACUGCAUUUGUGACUGGCAAGCUAGAGUCUGGCAGAGGGGGGUGGAAUUCCGCGUGUAGCAGUGAAAUGCGUAGAUAUGCGGAGGAAUACCGGUGGCGAAGGCGGCCCCCUGGACAAAGACUGACGCUCAGGUGCGAAAGCGUGGGGAGCAAACAGGAUUAGAUACCCCGGUAGUCCCUGUCUCUUAUAC